GCGCGCAGGCGGUUUCUUAAGUCUGAUGUGAAAGCCCACGGCUCAACCGUGGAGGGUCAUUGAAACUGGGGAACUUGAGUGCAGAAGAGAAAAGCGGAAUUCCACGUGUAGCGGUCUCACGAGUACUGAGCAAUGAAUGCGUAGAGAUGUGGAGGAACACCAGUGGCGAAGGCGGCUUUUUGGUCUGUAACAAAAAAUGACGCUGAGGCGCGAAAGCGUGGGGAGCAAACAGGAUUAGAUACCCUGGUAGUCCACGCCGUAAACGAUGAGUGCUAAGUGUUAGAGGGCUAUACAAGGAAGGUUUUUUUAUAGUAGCCGCCCUUUAGUGCUGCAGCUAACACACACGCAUAUAGUGUGCCCCCCCCAAUAAAGCGCGCACUUCCGCCUGGGGAGUACGGUCGCAAGACUGAAACUCAAAGGAAUUGACGCGCGCGGUGUUGUAUAUAUGGACCCAAGGGUUAAAACCCGCACAAGCGGUGGAGCAUGUGGUUUAAUUCGAAGCAACGCGAAGAACCUUACCAGGUCUUGACAUCCUCUGACAACUCUAGAGAUAGAGCGUUCCCCUUCACACACCCCCAAGGGGUGGUGGGACAGAGUGACAGGUGGUGCAUGGUUGUCAAAUAUAGAGUGCGCGCGCAGCUCGUGUCGACACACCUCUGUUAACGUACGUAGUGAGAUGUUGGGUUAAGUCCCGCAACGAGCGCAACCCUUGAUCUUAGUUGCCAGCAUUUAGUUGGGCACUCUAAGGUGACUGCCGGUGACAAACCGGAGGAAGGUGGGGAUGACGUCAAAUCAUCAUGCCCCUUAUGACCUGGGCUACACACGUGCUACAAUGGAUGGUACAAAGGGCUGCAAGACCGCGAGGUCAAGCCAAUCCCAUAAAACCAUUCUCAGUUCGGAUUGUAGGGCUGCAACUCGCCUACAUGAAGCUGGAAUCGCUAGUAAUCGCGGAUCAGCAUGCCGCGGUGAAUACGUUUUUCCCUAAAAACGCGUGCAAAAAAAGGCCUUGUACACACCCGCCCC
rnacentral:rRNA from 1 species